CUCUUCUCACUAUGUUCUCAGUCUCAGUCUCAGUCUCGCUCCCCCCUCUCGAUUAUUUUAAUCACUCAGUUCUCACUUCUCCAAUAAUUAAUCUCUGAACCAGAUGGAAUCCAAGAUUGGGUUUAAGCGAAAGUUUUCAAUUGAAAACCAAUAAAGCAACAUCAGGAGAAUUCGGAGGAGUUUAUACACGUCCAAGAUUGGAUCGAAAUUAGAUUUGUUCUUGAGCUGGGAAAAGCCAGGAGAUUCAGGUGCUAAAUACUUUGAAUUCCUACAACAACAUGAGUGGAUUGGGGUUUUGACCUAAAAUUAGUGUUCAAUGGCGAAGAACAAUUAUUGCUGGUGGUAGAAGAGACCGGUAGAGCAGCGAAGAUGAUGGAUCUAUUCGGUUUUUAUAUGGUGGCUGAGAGAGUAGACGACGGUGAAGAAGAAGGUGUUGCUGCGAUGGGCUUCAGUAUGUAUUGGUUGUAUGGAGUUCAUAUCAGAGAUGGGUGUUGUUGAUUUCUUAAGACAAGGAAGGCAGACAAAAGGCCUGAAGUUAUGGUGUAAAACCUGCUAGAAAAAGUCUUGAUGCUGUCGAAGUUUGCCUGUAUACAUCGAUGGGUAGGAAUUGGGUUAAAUGGUAGCAGUUUUUGAGAACUUCUUAAUUGAGAAUUCAGCUACACUGGUUGUUGAUACAUAAUACGGGAUUGUUGCUGUGAUGUGGGAUUUUGUCGUAAACGGAAAUAGGUUCAAACUUCGUUUCCAACUGUGAAUACUAUAUAAAAGAGAAAUUAUUUCAGCUGGUGGCUUUAUUUAAUCGUGAGUAAGUGGAUUACAAACA